rnacentral:rRNA from 1 species
UACGUAGGAAGCGAGCGUUGUCCGGAAUCACUGGGCGUAAAGCGCGUGUAGGCGGUACGGCAAGUCUGCUGUGAAAGCGCCCGGCUUAACCGGGCGAGGUCGGCGGAAACUGCUGAACUCGAGGACGGUAGAGGGGGGUGGAAUUCCCGGUGUAGUGGUGAAAUGCGUAGAGAUCGGGAGGAACACCUGUGGCGAAGGCGGCCCCCUGGGCCGGCCCUGACGCUGAGACGCGAAGGCGCGGGGAGCGAACGGG